ACACAAAGACACAGCAUGUCUUCUUCAUAGGAGUUUCCUCUCUCUCUCCCUCUCCUCUUUAACAAAGAAAUAUAUUAGCAGUUGAAGAUGAUGUUAUCAGCAGCUACACAGCCCACCGUGAAUUGGGCUCCUGCGUUUUUUUCUCAGAAAUACUUUUCACCCAAAAUUGUCUCCUUUACAAAGCAGCAGCAGUCUCUUUCUCGACCUUUCAAUGUCUCAGCACUUAAACCCAGAAGAAAUCUUGGCGUCUUUGCAACCUCAGCCGUAUCUUUUGCUGAAGAAACAUCAACGCAAGAUUCUGUCUCCUCAGCUCCUCUUCAAAAAGAGAAGCUUGGAGUGGUAGUUAAGCCGUUGGAGAAACCUAGGCUAGUGUUGAAGUUUAUUUGGAUGGAGAAGAACAUUGGGAUUGCACUGGACCAGGUAAUUCCUGGUCAUGGUACGAUUCCGUUGAGCCCCUAUUAUUUUUGGCCUAGAAAAGAUGCUUGGGAGGAGCUUAAAAUCAUGCUGGAGAGUAAACCCUGGAUAUCACAGAAGCAAAUGAUUAUUCUUCUUAAUCAGGCUACCGAUAUCAUCAAUUUGUGGCAACAGAGUGGUGGUGAUUUAGCCUAAGCCUUCAUAGAACAAGAUUCAUAUAUUGUGCUGCGACUGAACGUCAUCAUUUUGUUUGCCAUCAUGCGUGUUAUGUGGCACAUGUUGUAACUUGUUUCACUCAAAAGGCAAAGCUUGUUGGUAAUUGACCGGCCUCUUAUUCUUUGCUGUCUAACAUAUUAUGCCUCAACUCUCUAUGUUCUUCCCUAAGGCGCGCAAUGAACAAGUUCUGCAUUAUAUUACUCGAUAUAUGCAGUCUCUCGUCCUUCUCUUUGCACAUUAUGAGAAAACUAGAUUCAUUUGUGUCAAUCCAAAGGCAUAUAAUUGCCUGAUAUUGACUUUUUUGUGAACAUAGUCGGUGAAAACUAAAAUAUAAACGUAAUUCUGGUUGUCAA